GAUGAACGCUAGCGGGAGGCUUAAUACAUGCAAGUCGAGCGGUAAUUUAGGAAUAGCAAUAUUUCUGAGCUAGAGCGGCGCACGGGUGAGUAACGCGUACACGACCUGCCCUUUACUGGGGGAUAGCCUUGGGAAACUGAGAUUAAUACCCCAUGGUAUUAUUAUGCUGCAUGGUAUAAUAAUUAAAGCUGAGGCGGUAAAGGAUGGGUGUGCGUCUGAUUAGCUAGUUGGUAGGGUAACGGCCUACCAAGGCGAUGAUCAGUAGGGGGCUGAGAGCGUGACCCCCCACACGGGUACUGAGACACGGACCCGACUCCUACGGGAGGCAGCAGUAAGGAAUAUUGGUCAAUGGAGGGAACUCUGAACCAGCCAUCCCGCGUGCAGGAUGAAGGGGUCUC
rnacentral:rRNA from 1 species